rnacentral:tRNA from 1 species
GCCGCUGUAGCUCAGCCUGGUUAGAGCGCUAGACUCAUAAUCUAGAGGUCGUGAUUUCAAAUAUCGCCAGCGGCA